GAAGCGGCAACAGCUCAAAUUUGAAAUCUGGCCCCUUGGGGGCCCGAGUUGUAAUUUGCAGAGGAUGCUUCGGCGUGGGCCCCGGUCCAAGUUCCUUGGAACAGGACGUCGCAGAGGGUGAGAAUCCCGUACGUGGCCGGCGGUGCUCGCCAUGUGAAGCUCCUUCGACGAGUCGAGUUGUUUGGGAAUGCAGCUCUAAAUGGGAGGUAAAUUUCUUCUAAAGCUAAAUACCGGCCAGAGACCGAUAGCGCACAAGUAGAGUGAUCGAAAGAUGAAAAGCACUUUGGAAAGAGAGUCAAAAAGUACGUGAAAUUGUUGAAAGGGAAGCGCUUGCAACCAGACCUGACCGUGGUCGCUCAUCCGGGCUCCUGCCCGGUGCACUCUUCUGCGGUCAGGCCAGCAUCAGUUCCGGCGGUUGGAUAAAGGCGGCGGGAAUGUGGCUCCCUCCGGGGAGUGUUAUAGCCCGCCGCGCCAUGCGGCCAGCCGGGACUGAGGUCCGCGCUUCGGCUAGGAUGCUGGCGUAAUGGUCGCAAGCGGCCCGUCUUGAAACACGGACCAAGGAGUCUAACAUCUAUGCGAGUGUUUGGGUGUCAAGCCCGGGCGCGGAAUGAAAGUGAACGGAGGCGGGAACCUUCGGGUGCACCGUCGACCGAUCCUGAUGUCUUCGGAUGGAUUUGAGUAAGAGCAUAGCUGUUGGGACCCGAAAGAUGGUGAACUAUGCCUGAAUAGGGUGAAGCCAGAGGAAACUCUGGUGGAGGCUCGCAGCGGUUCUGACGUGCAAAUCGAUCGUCAAAUUUGGGCAUAGGGGCGAAAGACUAAUCGAACUAUCUAGUAGCUGGUUCCUGCCGAAGUUUCCCUCAGGAUAGCAGUAACGUUUUCAGUUUUAUGAGGUAAAGCGAAUGAUUAGAGGCAUGGGGGUUGAAACAACCUUCACCUAUUCUCAAACUUUAAAUAUGUAAGAAGUCC
rnacentral:rRNA from 1 species